rnacentral:pre_miRNA from 1 species
UAAAAGUAAACUAAGAGUUGGAUCGUUUGCGUACGUUUGCCGCUAGGGGCGCUGUUCCAACUGCAUACAAAUUUGAGCUA